GACGAACGCUGGCGGCGUGCUUAACACAUGCAAGUCGAGCGGUAAGGCCCUUUCGGGGUACGACGAGCGGCGAACGGGUGAGUAACACGUGGGUGACCUGCCCUCAGCUCUGGGAUAAGCCUGGGAAACCGGGUCUAAUACUGGAUAUGACUCCAUGACGCAUGUUGUGGGGUGGAAAGCCUUGUGCGGCUGAGGAUGGGCCCGCGGCCUAUCAGCUUGUUGGUGGGGUGANGGCCUACCAAGGCGACGACGGGUAGCCGGCCUGAGAGGGCGACCGGCCACACUGGGACUGAGACACGGCCCAGACUCCUACGGGAGGCAGCAGUGGGGAAUCUUGCGCAAUGGGCGAAAGCCUGACGCAGCGACGCCGCGUGAGGGAUGACGGCCU
rnacentral:rRNA from 1 species